rnacentral:rRNA from 1 species
UAGGGAAUCUUCGGCAAUGGGGGGAACCCUGACCGAGCAACGCCGCGUGAGUGAAGAAGGUUUUCGGAUCGUNAAGCUCUGUUGUUAAGGAAGAACGUGUGUGAGAGUGGAAAGUUCACACAGUGACGGUACUUAACCAGAAAGGGACGGCUAACUACGUGCCAGCAGCCGCGGUAAUACGUAGGUCCCGAGCGUUGUCCGGAUUUAUUGGGCGUAAAGCGAGCGCAGGCGGUUAGAUAAGUCUGAAGUGAAAGGCAGUGGCUCAACCAUUGUAGGCUUUGGAAACUGUUUAACUUGAGUGCAGAAGGGGAGAGUGGAAUUCCAUGUGUAGCGGUGAAAUGUGUAGAUAUAUGGAGGAACACCGGUGGCGAAAGCGGCUCUCUGGUCUGUAACUGACGCUGAGGCUCGAAAGCGUGGGGAGCGAACAGGAUUAGAUACCCUGGUAGUCCACGCCGUAAACGAUGAGUGCUAGGUGUUAGGUCCUUUCCGGGACUUAGUGCCGCAGCUAACGCAUUAAGCACUCCGCCUGGGGAGUACGACCGCAAGGUUG